rnacentral:rRNA from 1 species
UACAGAGGGUGCGAGCGUUAAUCGGAAUUACUGGGCGUAAAGCGUGCGUAGACGGUUAUUUAAGUCGGGUGUGAAAGCCCCGGGCUCAACCUGGGAAUUGCAUUCGAGACUGAAUAGCUAGGGUACGGUAGAGGGAAGCGGAAUUUCCGGUGUAGCGGUGAAAUGCGUAGAUAUCGGAAGGAACAUCAGUGGCGAAAACGGCUUCCUGGACCAGUACCGACGUUCAGGCACGAAAGCGUGGGGAGCAAACAGG